GGUCACCAACAGCCGGGAACGCUUCGUGGUGCUGGUGAUGAGCACCUUGCUCCUGCUCAUCAGUUGCACACUUUUCGCCGUCCUCUUUACGCUGCUCUCAGAUGACAUGUUUGACCUACCAACGGUAGUAGGAACGUCGGCUAAGUCCCAGGAGGCGAUUGUACCUGGCCUUAUUUUUUUUUACCAGGCGCUGAUGGAGAUUGUUCGUGAGAUGAGAAAAGGACGUGAUUAUGAUUAUUAAAUAAAGCAUUAAAAAAGAACGCCAA
rnacentral:lncRNA from 1 species